AGUGGCGGACGAGUGAGUAACGCGUAAGAAUCUAACUUCAGGACGGGGACAACAGUUGGAAACGACUGCUAAUACCCGAUGUGCCGCAAGGUGAAACCUAAUUGGCCUGGAGAAGAGCUUGCGUCUGAUUAGCUAGUUGGUGGGGUAAAGGCCUACCAAGGCGACGAUCAGUAGCUGGUCUGAGAGGAUGAGCAGCCACACUGGGACUGAGACACGGCCCAGACUCCUACGGGAGGCAGCAGUGGGGAAUUUUCCGCAAUGGGCGAAAGCCUGACGGAGCAACGCCGCGUGAGGGAGGAAGGUCUUUGGAUUGUAAACCUCUUUUCUCAAGGAAGAAGUUCUGACGGUACUUGAGGAAUCAGCCUCGGCUAACUCCGUGCCAGCAGCCGCGGUAAUACGGGGGAGGCAAGCGUUAUCCGGAAUUAUUGGGCGUAAAGCGUCCGCAGGUGGUCAGCCAAGUCUGCCGUCAAAUCAGGUUGCUUAACGACCUAAAGGCGGUGGAAACUGGCAGACUAGAGAGCAGUAGGGGUAGCAGGAAUUCCCAGUGUAGCGGUGAAAUGCGUAGAGAUUGGGAAGAACAUCGGUGGCGAAAGCGUGCUACUGGGCUGUAUCUGACACUCAGGGACGAAAGCUAGGGGAGCGAAAGGGAUUAGAUACCCCUGUAGUCCUAGCCGUAAACGAUGGAUACUAGGCGUGGCUU
rnacentral:rRNA from 1 species